rnacentral:rRNA from 1 species
CCCUUAGAUGUCCUGGGCCGCACGCGCGUUACACUGAUGCAUUCAACGAGCUUAUAACCUUGGCCGAGAGGCCUGGGCAAUCUUGUUAACGUGCAUCGUGAUAGGGAUAGAUUAUUGAAAUUAUUAAUCUUGAACGAGGAAUUCCUAGUAAACGCAGAUCAUCAAUCUGCAUUGAAUACGUCCCUGCCCUUUGUACACACCGCCCGUCGCUCCUACCGAUUGAGUGGUCCGGUGAGGCUUUGGGAUCUGAGCGGAAAGAGCGUUUCGCUGUUUCUGCUCGGAAAACUCAGUCGAACCUUAUCAUUUAGAGGAAGGAGAAGUCGUAACA